CAUUAAUGAAUUGUAAGGAAGUUGAUGCUGGUAGCCUCGCUGGGUUUACAUGUGCUCGCUUCCGACAAUCCUUAUCCAUACACCUGUGCACCUUUUGAGGGUUUUCCGUUGAGUCGGAUUAUCCUCUUUUCUCACAAACUCUUUAAUAAUUCUGAACGUGAUUUUGUGCCGUUUAUGGCCUUAAAUAAAUACAACUUUUAACAACGGAUCUCUUGGCUCUCGCAUCGAUGAAGAACGCAGCGAAUUGCGAUAAGUAAUGUGAAUUGCAGAAUUCAGUGAAUCAUCGAAUCUUUGAACGCACCUUGCGCUCCCUGGUAUUCCGGGGAGCACGCCUGUUCGAGUGUCGUGAAAUUCUCAAGCUGGAUGGGCUUUUAUUAGUCAUUGCAGUUUGGUUUUGGACUUUGCUGUGUUAUGACGGCUGGUCUUAAAGAUAUUAGCUGAAUCUUGGUAUGAGACUGGUUCCUACUCAGCGUGAUAAUUUUCUGACCGCUGAGGACAUCCCUCUGGGAUGGCCAGACUUGUCUUCGAAUCGCUUCUAAUCUGGUGCUGAUAGCUUUUUUCGGAGCUAUUGCCCACUUUUCAAUUUUGACCUCGAAUCAAGUGGGACUACCCGCUGAACUUAAGCAUAUCAAUAAGCGGAGGAAAAGAAACUAACAAGGAUUCCCCUAGUAACGGCGAGUGAAGCGGGAAAAGCUCAAAUUUAAAAUCUGGCAGUCUUCGAUUGUCCGAAUUGUAAUCUAGAGAAGCGUUUUCCGCG
rnacentral:rRNA from 1 species